AGUGAACGCUGGCGGUAGGCCUAACACAUGCAAGUCGAACGGCAGCACAGUGGAGCUUGCUCCUUGGGUGGCGAGUGGCGGACGGGUGAGGAAUACAUCGGAAUCUACUCUGUCGUGGGGGAUAACGUAGGGGAGCUUACGCUAAUACCGCAUACGACCUACGGGUGAAAGCAGGGGACCUUCGGGCCUUGCGCGAUUGAAUGAGCCGAUGUCGGAUUAGCUAGUUGGCGGGGUAAAGGCCCACCAAGGCGACGAUCCGUAGCUGGUCUGGGAGGAUGAUCAGCCACACUGGAACUGAGACACGGUCCAGACUCCUACGGGAGGCAGCAGUGGGGAAUAUUGGACAAUGGGCGCAAGCCUGAUCCAGCCAUACCGCGUGGGUGAAGAAGGCCUUCGGGUUGUAAAGCCCUUUUGUUGGGAAAGAAAUCCAGCUGGCUAAUACCCGGUUGGGAUGACGGUACCCAAAGAAUAAGCACCGGCUAACUUCGUGCCAGCCGCCGCCGUAA
rnacentral:rRNA from 1 species